rnacentral:rRNA from 1 species
GCUGGGUUCAGAACGUCGUGAGACAGUUCGGUCCCUAUCCGUCGCAGGCGUAGGAAAUUUGAGAAGACCUGUCCUUAGUACGAGAGGACCGGGAUGGACGUACCUCUGGUGUACCAGUUGUUCUGCCAAGGGCAUGGCUGGGUAGCUAUGUACGGAAUGGAUAAGCGCUGAAAGCAUCUAAGCGCGAAGCCAACUUCAAGAUAAGAGUUCCCACCGCAAGGGUAAGACCCCAGAAAGACUAUCUGGUUGAUAGGUCGAAGGUGUAAGUGCAGCAAUGUAUUUAGCUUAUCGAUACUAAUAGGUCGAGGACUUGACCAAU